rnacentral:rRNA from 1 species
GAUGAACGCUAGCGGCAGGCUUAACACAUGCAAGUCGAGGGGUAACAGGGAAGAGCUUGCUUUUCCGCUGACGACCGGCGCACGGGUGAGUAACGCGUAUAGAACCUACCUUUUACAGGGGAAUAGCCCAGAGAAAUUUGGAUUAAUGCCCUAUAGUAUUAUUGAAUGGCAUCAUUUAGUAAUUAAACAUUUAUGGGUAAAAGAUGGCUAUGCGUUCUAUUAGCUAGAUGGUAAGGUAACGGCUUACCAUGGCAACGAUAGAUAGGGGUCCUGAGAGGGGAGAUCCCCCACACUGGUACUGAGACACGGACCAGACUCCUACGGGAGGCAGCAGUGAGGAAUAUUGGACAAUGGAGGCAACUCUGAUCCAGCCAUGCCGCGUGCAGGAAGACGGCCCUAUGGGUUGUAAACUGCUUUUAUACGGGAAGAAACCCAACUACGUGUAGUUGGCUGACGGUACCGUAAGAAUAAGCACCGGCUAACUCCGUGCCAGCAGCCGCGGUAAUACGGAGGGUGCAAGCGUUAUCCGGAAUCAUUGGGUUUAAAGGGUCCGUAGGCGGGCUAAUAAGUCAGGGGUGAAAUCCAACAGCUUAACUGUUGAACUGCCUUUGAUACUGUUAGUCUUGAAUUAUAUGGAAGUAGAUAGAAUGUGUAGUGUAGCGGUGAAAUGCUUAGAGAUUACACAGAAUACCGAUUGCGAAGGCAGUCUACU